UACAGAGGGGGCAAGCGUUGUUCGGAAUUACUGGGCGUAAAGGGCGCGUAGGCGGCCUGUUAAGUCGAACGUGAAAUCCCCGGGCUCAACCCGGGAACUGCGUCCGAUACUGGCAGGCUUGAAUCCGGGAGAGGGAUGCGGAAUUCCAGGUGUAGCGGUGAAAUGCGUAGAUAUCUGGAGGAACAUCGGUGGCGAAGGCGGCAUCCUGGACCGGUAUUGACGCUGAGGCGCGAAAGCCAGGGGAGCAAACGGG
rnacentral:rRNA from 1 species